CUCCUCCCCUGAGUACAGUUUCCAUCACAGAGCACAGCUAAGAAUUGGCACAACCCUCAAGAUAUCACAAGAAUUAACAGAAAGCAUUUGCUGAGCAAAUUUUAGAAAAGAUGCUGCUGAAUUCUAAGGAGGCUCUUCACUGUUGAUGUGGAAUAUUGCUUAGCAAACCUGAGUGCUGCAGAGUGUGCCCUCAGCCUGACCCAUCUGCACAACUAAUUGCAGCUGUUUGCAAAGAUAUGAGAGAACAUCUGUGAAAUAGAAACUGAAGGCUAUGUAUCUGUAUCAUCAAAAACAGAACAGUUAGGAUAUGUAUAUGUCGCUUGUAUGUAUACAUGUGUACAGCAAGAGUGCCUAAUGAAUGAGGGAGACAGAAGACUGUGUUGGAUGCCCUAGAACUGGGAGACAACAGG